rnacentral:tRNA from 1 species
GGAAUUGUGGCUCAGUGGCAGAGCACUUGCCUUGCAUGUAUGAGGCACUGGGUUUGACCCACAGCACCA